UUGCGACCAUAUCAAGUUGAAACAUCGGUUCUCGUCCGAUAUCGAAGUUAGGCAGCGUUGGUUCUGGUCAGUACUCGGCUGGGUGACCACUGGUGAAUACCCGGUGUUGUCAG